rnacentral:lncRNA from 12 species
AUAUGGAGUGAGCAAUAUGCUGGAGCAUGGCCUCAUCUCUGGGGACAGGAUUUAGGGCUUUUUCUUCUGCAAGGUGUUUUCCUCCUAGAAUUCAGGCUGACUGCAGAUGACCUGGGGAGACUGGAGUGCAUCCUUUCAUCUACUCAGCUAGGUUGAUUUAUGG